CUGUUGCUGCGAUUGCUCGAGUCCAUGACCAAACAGAGGACUCUGAAAUACAAUUGCACGUGGACUAGAAGCAGGGGCGGAGCCACCAAAGGGACGUGUAGCUUUGGCUCAAACCAUGUAUUUGUGAUGAAGAACCAUUUCAUAUGUAUAAAUAAUCCAUCCAGAUUCAUGUGCUACAAAUUCUGGCUCCGCCUCAUACUAGAAUCACCAGCUUUUGGAACCGUGUUUCCUAUGGUUUCUUUGUUUAGCAAGAAUGUAUGUCUUCCUGAAUUGUUGUUUUCAAUAUUGCAAUAACUAUGCUUCAGAAUGAUCAUCAUUAUCACAAAUGCUUCGUUUUAUGUCCCAUCCUUUUAUGUGAAUCUUGACUUGCGAUAACAAAAAUAUCAUUGCUAAAGAAGGGGAAAAUGAAGCAAGGCGAGNNNN
rnacentral:lncRNA from 1 species